rnacentral:rRNA from 1 species
UAGUCCACGCCGUAAACGAUGAUAACUGGCCUUGAGCGAUACACAGUUCGAGGCUGAGCGAAAGCAUUAAGUUAUCCACCUGGGGAGUACGCCGGCAACGGUGAAACUCAAAGGAAUUGACGGGGGCCCGCACAAGCGGAGGAACAUGUGGUUUAAUUCGAUGAUACGCGAGGAACCUUACCCGGGCUUAAAUGGGAGAUGACCGAUCCAGAGAUGGAUCUUUCCUUCGGGACAUCUUUCAAGGUGCUGCAUGGUUGUCGUCAGCUCGUGCCGUGAGGUGUCGGGUUAAGUCCCAUAACGAGCGCAACCCCUACCGUUAGUUGCCAGCGCGUCAAGGCGGGGACUCUAGCGGGACUGCCACCGUAAGGUGCGAGGAAGGCGGGGAUGACGUCAAAUCAGCAUGGCCCUUACGUCCGGGGGCUACACACGUGUUACAAUGGCCGGGUACAGAGGGGCAGGCCACCUAGUGAUAGGGGAGC